GGCCAGCAGAUCAGACUGUGGUUGUGCUGGGCCACUUCCAGUUGUGAUGUUGCCUCCAGAAAUGAGGGGUGAAGUGUCGAUGAGGUCCAGGGCAGGAGGGACGGCAUCAUCAUGUCCUGCGUCUGUCAAUUGAAGGGAGUGAGACAGAUGAAGGCCACUUGGAAACACAAACCUGCUUGUUUGUGGUGCACUACAAAGGAGCAAAUCAAUCUGUAUUGACGUUGCACAAUUAUCUCAGGCUGUUUCACCAUACGCGAAAGAACAACUACAGACAAGACAACAACAUCCAAUGAUUUGUGAGAAACCUUUGCUAAUAUAGAUCUCAUUCACAUACUGUAUAAUGUAAUUGACUUAAGAAAUAAGGUUAGAUGCUUAUGGGUAUUUAGAACGUUAAAUAUCUUUUUAUUUUAAAAGUAUCAUCCAAAUGCUCUUACUAUGAUUUAAAAGAAUUUUAACAAAUUAAUCUGAAUGCAGCAUUGUUUAUUUUAACAGCAUUUUCACUGUCAAAUUCAUCUUCCUUGUCUAGUUAACCCAUUUUUCCACACUUGAUCCUGCUGUCUGUUUUUUGUUUCUUGCCCUACAGUGUCAGUCAUCACCAUAUAAAAAUAUGGCGCGACAGUUGGUACCAAAUUAAGAUUUUGCCUUAUAGCAUAUGUUGACUGACAGGGUGUCAUGUAGUUAGAGAUGAAUUAAGAUCCAUUUGUUGUUUCCAGUUUCUGUUUUUCACUGUGAGCUGCCAGGUUUAACUUGACAGUUUAUCUACUGCAUAUUUACUGCAACCUAAAUAAUUUACUGUAAAUCGACAAGAACAUUGCCACCACUACAUGUAAAAGAGAUGCCUCUUUUUUUUACCUUUUCUUUCUUUAUGCUGCUCCUCUCCAUACCCAGAUGAGGUUGUUUUGUGUCCAUGAGUCUCAUGUAAGUGUCCCAUAAAAUGAUGGGAGACUGACGCACCACAAUCAUCAUUAACACAGAAAUACAUGAACUAAGAUGAAUUUUUGCUGUUCAUAGUGGCCCCUUUUAACACUUGUUAAACUGCUAAACUUGAGUUGCCAAGUUUAGCAUGUUGGGAAAGUUGAUCUACUACUGCACAAAAGAUGAUGUUUUGUGGCCGUGAGUCUCGUGCACGUUUCCCUCAGGCUUGUGGGAGACUGACACACAACAUUUUCCAUUGACAUAGUGCUUCCUGGGCAUCAAUCCUGAAAGAGGCUCAAAGACCAAGAAGCGGACAACAAUGAACCCUCAUGUGAGCACCCUUUUGAGGAAACUUAUUGACUUUGAGUGGGCAUCAUAGUUUUUUUUUGCAGCGGUAGUUGUCAGGCUCAGUUUUGAGUAGCCUUGUUCUUUUUGUAAUUUUUCAAGACACCUUUGCACUACAAGAUUUUUACACAAUGCUGUUGCGUGUGGACUCAUUAUAAUGUUUGAGACUGAGAGGAGCGCCUGACCCCUUUACAACUUUCCUUUAUC